rnacentral:rRNA from 1 species
GACGUAGGGCGCGAGCGUUGUCCGGAUUUAUUGGGCGUAAAGAGCUCGUAGGCGGCUUGUCGCGUCGUUCGUGAAAACCUGCAGCUCAACUGCAGGCUUGCGGUCGAUACGGGCAGGCUGGAGUUCGGGUAGGGGAGACUGGAAUUCCUGGUGUGAGCGGUGAAAUGCGCAGAUAGUCAGGAGGAACACCGGUGGCGAAGGCGGGUCUCUGGACAACUACUGACACUGAGACGCGAAAGCGUGGGUAGCAAACAGG